GCACGCCCUCUGACCAUGUGGAGGACGUGGCAUACGGCUCAGUAACACGUAGUCAACCUGCCCUGCCGACGCGGAUAACCCCGGGAAACUGGGACUAACCCGCGAUAGGCCACGCCGCCUGGAACGGGGCGUGGCUCAAAGAGCGGCGUCGCAUGUGGCGCCAGUUGCGGCAGGAUGGGACUGCGGCCGAUCAGGCCGUUGGCGGGGUAACGGCCCACCAAACCUGUAACCGGUACGGGCUUUGAGAGAAGGAGCCCGGAGAUGGACACUGAGAUAAGGGUCCAGGCCCUACGGGGCGCAGCAGGCGCGAAACCUUCGCAAUCCGCGCCAGCGGGACGAGGUCACUCCGAGUGCCCUCCGCUGAGGAGGGCUUUUCCCCGCUCUAAAUCGGCGGGGGAAUAAGGGGAGGGCAAGCCUGGUGUCAGCCGCCGCGGUAAUACCAGCUCCUCGAGUGGUCGGGGUGUUUAUUGGGCCUAAAGCAUCCGUAGCCGGCUCCGGCCGUCUUCGGACAAAUCCACCGGCCCAACCGGUGGACCGCCGGAGAUACCCCGGGGCUAGGAGGCGGGAGAGGCGGACGGUACUCCGCGGGUAGGGGUAAAAUCCACUGAUCCGCGGAGGACCACCAGUGGCGAAGGCGGUCCGCCAGAACGCGCUCGACGGUGAGGGAUGAAAGCUGGGGGAGCGAACCGGAUUAGAUACCCGGGUAGUCCCAGCUGUAAACGAUGCAGACUCGGUGAUG
rnacentral:rRNA from 1 species